AAUCUUAAAUAUGAGAAGUUUGUAGCCUUUAAGUAAGCAGCUGUGUCAAUUUUUUCCUUUAUUGUUUCUGGGUUUUGUGUCUUACCGUAGGCCUUUUCCACUCCUGAGACAUAAAAAAUAUUCUUCUAAUCACAAGGUCUAGAAGAACAUGGGAGAUUUUUCCCUACAGGGGCCAGAUCAGUGCUUGGCCCAUAAUGGGUAUAUGGUCCCUGUGCAAAGGUGAGUGUAAGGCUACGUGUCCGAGACUCCUUGCCACACAUUUUCAGGAAACUGUGUCUACAUUUUGGUGGUUUCAUCAAUGUACACAUAUGUCCCUCCUGCCUCUUCACCCAUCUUGGCUUGCUUGUAAUCAAUGUGUGUUUGGGUGAAUGGACAAUGGGUGGGCUUUUUUUUUUUUUUUUUCUAUUUCGCUGAAUUUUCCCAUAAGCAAGUACAACAGGACCUUUAAAAUUAAAAGGAGAAUGGAAAGAUUGCUGAGGGGCAUGAGGAAUAAUGAUUAGGUAGGUAGAAUGGGUAUUAGGCCUAGUGGGUAGCUUUGGACAGCCUAGGCCAAGACAAGAGAAGGUGGACUGUAGACUUCUCUAAGGUGGGGAAUUGGAAAGAUGGGGCUUACAGAGGGAUUUGGGGGGAUCCCAGGGCUCCAGAUGGAUCGACGUAGGAAUUGCUCAGCUGAGAGGGAGUGGAAAUGGGCCCUAUGCCCUGCUACAAGCAGCAGGUAGACCAGAUAUCUGGAAAUGGCUGUGCUGUCAACACAAGUGUGUGACUUCUUUUUUGUCCUGGAAGUGGCCAUACUGGUAUUUUUUUGUGGGAAACAAGGAUGGGCCUGGAAGGUGAAGACAAUGUGGGCCUAUUGAUACAGGUAGAUACAGUUACUAGGACAGAGAUUGUCUAGAUAUUUGAGGACAUCUCUAGAGUUUCUAGAGCCAAGAGUCCCAAGAUAAAUACAUUUCUCCCCUAAUCUUCCAUAAUUCUACUCACACUUUCUUUUUUUUUUUUUUUUUAUUUUGAGAGAGAGUGAGGAAGAGCAUGUGAGAGCAGGGGAGGGGCAGAGAGAGAGGGAGAGAGAGAAUCCCAAGCAGGCUACACACUGUCAGCACAGAGCCCAACGUGGGGCUUGAACUCAUGAAAUGAGAGAUCAUGACCUGAGCCAAAAUCAAGAGUCGGACACUUAACUAACUGAACCACCCAGGUGGCCCCAUCCUUUCAUUUUUUGAAGUUUAUUUAUUUAUUUUGAGAGAGAGAGAGAGAGAGCAGGGGAGGAGCAGAGAAACAGGGAGAGAGAGAAUCCCAAGCAGGCUCUGCACUGACAGCACACUUUGCUGUCAGUGCAGAGCCUGAGUCAGGGCUCGAACUCACAAACUGUGAGAUCAUGGCCUGAGCUGAAAUCAAGAGUCAGACUCUUAACUGACCGAGCCACCCAGGUGCUCCCCCCAUCCUUUCAUUUUAACAGCUUUAUUGAGAUAUAUUUCACGUAUCAUACAAUUCACUCAUUUAGCAUAUACAAUUCAUAGAUACAUGCAACUAUCACCACAGUCAGUUUUAGAACAUUUUCAUCACCUUAGAAAGAAACCCCUGCCUGGAUACCUCAUAUGAAUGGAAUCAAUAACACAUGUCUUUUAUGACUGGCUUCUUUCACUUAGAGUCAUAUUUUCAAGAUUCAUCCAUGAUGAACUAUCUGUUAGUGCUUUAUUCUUUUCUUACAGCUGAAUAAUAUUCUAUUGUAUGGAUAUAAGGCAUUUUUAUCCAUUUAUCAUUUGAUGGACAUUUGGAUUAUUUCUGUUUUGGCAGUUACGAAUAAUGCUGCUGUAAGCAUUUGUUCGCAAGCUUUUGUGUGAACAUGUUUUCAUUUUUCUUGGGUAUAUAGCUGGGAGUGCAGUUGCUGGGUCAUAUGGUAACUCUUAUGUGUUUUUUUUUUAAUUUUUUUUUAACAUUUAUUUAUUUUUGAGACAGAGAGAGACAGAGCAUGAACAGGGGAGGGUCAGAGAGAGAGGGAGACACAGAAUCUGAAACGGGCUCCAGGCUCUGAGCUGUCAGCACAGAGCCCGACGCGGGGCUCGAACUCACGGACCGUGAGAUCAUGCCCUGAGCCGAAGUCGGACGUUUAACCGACUGAGCCACCCAGGCGCCCCAGGUACUGGGGUCACACCAGACCCCCUUAAGUGAGCCCACAGCUUGAUGUGUACAGUUUAGAGGCACGGUGUUCCUUUCAUGGGAAGUGGAGCUUUCUGAAGCCCAGAAUUGUCAUUGUAACCAGGACCUGGCUGGAUGUGGGGAGUUGUUUCUCAUACAAAAUGAUUGCAAAUAUCUAUUUUAGCUUA